rnacentral:rRNA from 1 species
UAUGGCUCAGGAUGAACGCUAGCUACAGGCUUAACACAUGCAAGUCGAGGGGCAGCGGGAUUGAAGCUUGCUUCAAUUGCCGGCGACCGGCGCACGGGUGAGUAACGCGUAUCCAACCUUCCGUACACUCAGGGAUAGCCUUUCGAAAGAAAGAUUAAUACCUGAUGGUAUGAUGAGAUUGCAUGAUAGCAUCAUUAAAGAUUUAUCGGUGUACGAUGGGGAUGCGUUCCAUUAGGUAGUAGGCGGGGUAACGGCCCACCUAGCCAACGAUGGAUAGGGGUUCUGAGAGGAAGGUCCCCCACAUUGGAACUGAGACACGGUCCAAACUCCUACGGGAGGCAGCAGUGAGGAAUAUUGGUCAAUGGACGAGAGUCUGAACCAGCCAAGUAGCGUGAAGGAUGAAGGUCCUACGGAUUGUAAACUUCUUUUAUAAGGGAAUAAACCCUCCCACGUGUGGGAGCUUGUAUGUACCUUAUGAAUAAGCAUCGGCUAACUCCGUGCCAGCAGCCGCGGUAAUACGGAGGAUGCGAGCGUUAUCCGGAUUUAUUGGGUUUAAAGGGAGCGCAGACGGGUCGUUAAGUCAGCUGUGAAAGUUUGGGGCUCAACCUUAAAAUUGCAGUUGAUACUGGCGUCCUUGAGUGCGGUUGAGGUGUGCGGAAUUCGUGGUGUAGCGGUGAAAUGCUUAGAUAUCACGAAGAACUCCGAUUGCGAAGGCAGCACACUAAUCCGUAACUGACGUUCAUGCUCGAAAGUGUGGGUAUCAAACAGGAUUAGAUACCCUGGUAGUCCACACGGUAAACGAUGGAUACUCGCUGUUGGCGAUAUACUGUCAGCGGCUUAGCGAAAGCGUUAAGUAUCCCACCUGGGGAGUACGCCGGCAACGGUGCAACUCAAAGGAAUUGACGG